rnacentral:ncRNA from 1 species
AGAUUCCUACUGUCCCUAUCUACUUUGGGGCCACCAACCCGUGACUGUUUUGGAGUCAAAAUUGGUAGUGUCCUUCGUGGCACGAAGCCUGACCGGAGGCUUUAUUCUGGUACCACGGGAGCCAGGGCCCGCGGAACUCGUUUCCGUCCUGGCUAUUGGUUGCGGCCCCUUGGGGAGCUUCGUGGUGGUUGUGGUUAACACUCAAGCGAGUAGACGUGGAGUUGCGUUAUACAACCUGGUGCUGUGACCCACAGAUCAGCAGAGGUUUAGAUAGCCUCGCUCCACACCAGGGAGGAAGACAUGACCAAAACAGAUUGUCUUCAACUGGUACCGGAUGAACCGGGGCGCUGAUUGACGCUUAAAUUAAUCCUGUGCUUGGCACCGUGAGAUAAAGCCAAUACGGCAGGUGUUCACGUAAAACACAUUGACUUUAAUGUCCCUAUCUACUAUCUAGCGAAACCACAGCCAAGGGAACGGGCUUGGAAUAAUUAGCGGGGAAAGAAGACCCUUUUGAGCUUGACUCUAAUCUGGCAGUGUAAGGAGACAUAAGAGGUGUAGCAUAAGUGGGAGAUAUUAGAUUUCGGUUUGGUAUCGACAAUGAAAUACCACUACUCUUAUUGUUUCCUUACUUACUUGAUUAAAUGGAACGUGUAUCAUUUCCUAGCCAUUAUACGGAUAUAUUUAUUAUAUCUUAUGGUAUUGGGUUUUGAUGCAAGCUUCUUGAUCAAAGUAUCACGAGUUUGUUAUAUAAUCGCAAACAAAUUCUUUAAUGAGAAAAUGCAUUUAUGUAUUUUCAAUUUGAAAAUUUGGUAUAACUCCAAUUACUCAGGUAUGAUCCAAUUCAAGGACAUUGCCAGGUAGGGAGUUUGACUGGGGCGGUACAUCUCUCAAAUAAUAACGGAGGUGUCCCAAGGGCCAGCUCAGUGCGGACAGAAACCACACAUAGAGCAAAAGGGCAAAUGCUGACUUGAUCUCGGUGUUCAGUACACACAGGGACAGCAAAAGCUCGGCCUAUCGAUCCUUUUGGUUUAAAGAGUUUUUAACAAGAAGUGUCAGAAAAGUUACCAUAGGGAUAACUGGCUUGUGGCGGCCAAGCGUUCAUAGCGACGUCGCUUUUUGAUCCUUCGAUGUCGGCUCUUCCUAUCAUUGUGAAGCAAAAUUCACCAAGCGUUGGAUUGUUCACCCAUGCAAGGGAACGUGAGCUGGGUUUAGACCGUCGUGAGACAGGUUAGUUUUACCCUACUAAUGACAAAACGUUGUUGCGACAGCAUUCCUGCGUAGUACGAGAGGAACCGCAGGUACGGACCAAUG